CGCGUAAACGAAGGAAGUGGGGAGGGGGAUUCGUUCACCUCCGAAACAAGCGGAUUUUCCAAAGAACAUAAACAUUAAGAUAAACAAAGGAUUUUAAAAAGCGAAGGAAAAAAGAAAAAGAAAAAGCGCAGAAGAAGAAAACCAAAAGGGAUAGAAAGAAGAAACUUUGAUUUCUUUGGCAGCAAGUACAGGUACAAUUACAAUAUUGUCUCUUAAUCUGUGAUUACAGAAAAAUCUCACUUUCUUUAUUACAGAUAAUAUUUUGUUUAAUCGUCAAAAUCACCAAAUAAGCUGGUUGGGGAAUUCUGGGAGUUGAAGUCCAUAGAUCUUAAAGUUCCUAAGGUUGAAAAAAAAAACCUGUUUUAAAAGACAAAGGAUCACCACAGCAACCUUGAAACAGGCUUAGGAACAGUAUUACCUUGUUCCUUUCCCUGCCCUGUCAUUUAAAUUCUAGCUUAGAUCUUGAAAGACAUAAGCUUUCAAAGGUGCCAAAACAAACAACCUUCCUCAGUAAGCCAUAGUUUCAAGCAGGCAGAUAAUAUAUUCCCUGCACAGGGAGCAGCUGUCAAUCUUGUGAAUAUCAAAUGGCAUCACAAUACCUAGGCUGCAGCGUCUCUCAGAUUGGAAAUAUGAGAUUAUAUGGAGAAUAUACAAUAUACAGAGGUGGGGAAAAGAGGCCCAAUUACUCACAUGAGUUUCUUUUCAUGUAAAAGUGGCCAUGAUUAAUAUCACAUUGUUUUAAAUGUCAUUCUGGUUUGUGGCAGCUUUUUAACUCCUGACAACUUUUCAGACAAUACUAGGAGUGAUGGAAAUGCAAAUAUAGUUUGCCAGUUUCUGCUGUAGCCCAAAGGCCUUGUCGUGGCAUUGGAAACAUUGCACUUCAGAAAGUAGCACAGGCCUGGCCUCUCCCAGAAUCCCUGAAGCCUUAUCUUUCUGUUCUCAAGGGAAUGCAGUCAUUCUGGUGAGAUUCUUGUAAUGUUGUUGACUAGCAAUAAAACUACUGCUUGAGACUAUUCACGAGUGAUUCUGGCUGUUUUUGCCUGACAUGGACUGACAAAUUUCUUCAAUGUGGAAAUCAGAAGCCUUGCUGCCAUCAUCACUAUCACCAGUUCCAGAGGAUUGUUCUGCUCACACCAAAGCAGUUGGUGAAGACAUCAUCAAAACGGUAUGCAAGGUCCACGAUCCAGACUUCUUUGACUUUCUUUGCAUAUUUGUGACUUUUCUUCCAGUAGUCCUGCAACUGCUUCCCUGGUUGCUCAGUCAACAAUCCUGUUACUAUUAAUAAUUGAUAGUUAGAUUCACAGUCUAAGUGUUGUGGCCUGUGAGCGGCCUGUGCAGCUAGUAGCUGAUUCCGACAGCGAGGAGGCUGGUGUAGUGCUGCGCCAGCAGCCUGUGCAGCUGGCACUAGAGUCGGACAAUGAGGAGGCUGGAGAAGAUGUGGUGCCAGAGGCGGGGAUUCAGCCAGGGCCUUCAGAACCUCCAGAAGCUCCCAUAAGUGAAGAGGAAGAAGAGGAGGAGCCUCUUCUCAAUGCACAGGCGCGCAGAGCUGCCAAAAGGCAGGAGUGGCUCCUCAGGAGGAGGUCUCCUCGAGAGUAAAGCUUGGGGCUAAUUGGCCACUCCCUUAGCCUAUUUAAGGAAGGACGACCACUGAGGCAAUUUGCAGGGAACAAUUUAGUUCACUCUCCUUCGCGUCUUGAUCUUAGUUCUCUGCAAAUUGCUUCUGGGCUUUGUGCCAACCAUAGUAAGAUUACGAUUAUUUGUUCUUUGGAUUCUUGUAGGCUGUUAAGAAAGUUAAUUAACAGCCUUUAGUUUGAAAAAGACUGAUUUAAUUUAAUAAACUAAGGUUU